rnacentral:rRNA from 1 species
UUAAGCGACUAAGCGUACACGGUGGAUGCCCUGGCAGUCAGAGGCGAUGAAGGGCGUGCUAAUCUGCGAUAAGCGCCGGUAAGGUGAUAUGAACCGUUAUAACCGGCGAUACCCGAAUGGGGAAACCCAGUGUGACUCGUCACACUAUCAUUAACUGAAUCCAUAGGUUAAUGAGGCGAACCGGGGGAACUGAAACAUCUAAGUACCCCGAGGAAAAGAAAUCAACCGAGAUUCCCCCAGUAGCGGCGAGCGAACGGGGAGGAGCCCAGAGCCUGAAUCAGCAUGUGUGUUAGUGGAAGCGUCUGGAAAGGCGCGCGAUACAGGGUGACAGCCCCGUACACAAAAGCGCAUGUGCUGUGAGCUCGAUGAGUAGGGCGGGACACGUGGUAUCCUGUCUGAAUAUGGGGGGACCAUCCUCCAAGGCUAAAUACUCCUGACUGACCGAUAGUGAACCAGUACCGUGAGGGAAAGGCGAAAAGAACCCCGGCGAGGGGAGUGAAAAAGAACCUGAAACCGUGUACGUACAAGCAGUGGGAGCCCCACCACCAAAGCGUUUCGCUUUGUGUGGUGCACAAAGAAGCGUAACGACAGCACUGAAUGACGGUUAACGGAGCGCAAGCGACGUUCAACAUACAAAGUCAAGCAGUGGAGCGCUUUGGGGUGGGGUGACUGCGUACCUUUUGUAUAAUGGGUCAGCGACUUAUAUUCUGUAGCAAGGUUAACCGAAUAGGGGAGCCGGAGGGAAACCGAGUCUUAAUUGGGCGUUAAGUUGCAGGGUAUAGACCCGAAACCCGGUGAUCUAGCCAUGGGCAGGUUGAAGGUUGGGUAACACUAACUGGAGGACCGAACCGACUAAUGUUGAAAAAUUAGCGGAUGACCUGUGGCUGGGGGUGAAAGGCCAAUCAAACCGGGAGAUAGCUGGUUCUCCCCGAAAGCUAUUUAGGUAGCGCCUCGUGAAUUCAUCUCCGGGGGUAGAGCACUGUUUCGGCUAGGGGGCCAUCCCGGCUUACCAACCCGAUGCAAACUGCGAAUACCGGAGAAUGUUAUCACGGGAGACACACGGCGGGUGCUAACGUCCGUCGUGAAGAGGGAAACAACCCAGACCGCCAGCUAAGGUCCCAAAGUCAUGGUUAAGUGGGAAACGAUGUGGGAAGGCCCAGACAGCCAGGAUGUUGGCUUAGAAGCAGCCAUCAUUUAAAGAAAGCGUAAUAGCUCACUGGUCGAGUCGGCCUGCGCGGAAGAUGUAACGGGGCUAAACCAUGCACCGAAGCUGCGGCAGCGACGCUUAUGCGUUGUUGGGUAGGGGAGCGUUCUGUAAGCCUGCGAAGGUGGCCUGUGAGGGUUGCUGGAGGUAUCAGAAGUGCGAAUGCUGACAUAAGUAACGAUAAAGCGGGUGAAAAGCCCGCUCGCCGGAAGACCAAGGGUUCCUGUCCAACGUUAAUCGGGGCAGGGUGAGUCGACCCCUAAGGCGAGGCCGAAAGGCGUAGUCGAUGGGAAACGGGUUAAUAUUCCCGUACUUGGUGUUACUGCGAAGGGGGGACGGAGAAGGCUAUGUUGGCCGGGCGACGGUUGUCCCGGUUUAAGCGUGUAGGUGUGUGUUCCAGGUAAAUCCGGUUCACUUUAACACUGAGGCGUGACGACGAGGCACUACGGUGCUGAAGCAACAAAUGCCCUGCUUCCAGGAAAAGCCUCUAAGCAUCAGGUAACAUCAAAUCGUACCCCAAACCGACACAGGUGGUCAGGUAGAGAAUACCAAGGCGCUUGAGAGAACUCGGGUGAAGGAACUAGGCAAAAUGGUGCCGUAACUUCGGGAGAAGGCACGCUGACACGUAGGUGAAGUGAUUUACUCAUGGAGCUGAAGUCAGUCGAAGAUACCAGCUGGCUGCAACUGUUUAUUAAAAACACAGCACUGUGCAAACACGAAAGUGGACGUAUACGGUGUGACGCCUGCCCGGUGCCGGAAGGUUAAUUGAUGGGGUCAGCGCAAGCGAAGCUCCUGAUCGAAGCCCCGGUAAACGGCGGCCGUAACUAUAACGGUCCUAAGGUAGCGAAAUUCCUUGUCGGGUAAGUUCCGACCUGCACGAAUGGCGUAAUGAUGGCCAGGCUGUCUCCACCCGAGACUCAGUGAAAUUGAACUCGCUGUGAAGAUGCAGUGUACCCGCGGCAAGACGGAAAGACCCCGUGAACCUUUACUAUAGCUUGACACUGAACAUUGAGCCUUGAUGUGUAGGAUAGGUGGGAGGCUUUGAAGUGUGGACGCCAGUCUGCAUGGAGCCGACCUUGAAAUACCACCCUUUAAUGUUUGAUGUUCUAACGUGGACCCGUAAUCCGGGUUGCGGACAGUGUCUGGUGGGUAGUUUGACUGGGGCGGUCUCCUCCUAAAGAGUAACGGAGGAGCACGAAGGUUGGCUAAUCCUGGUCGGACAUCAGGAGGUUAGUGCAAUGGCAUAAGCCAGCUUGACUGCGAGCGUGACGGCGCGAGCAGGUGCGAAAGCAGGUCAUAGUGAUCCGGUGGUUCUGAAUGGAAGGGCCAUCGCUCAACGGAUAAAAGGUACUCCGGGGAUAACAGGCUGAUACCGCCCAAGAGUUCAUAUCGACGGCGGUGUUUGGCACCUCGAUGUCGGCUCAUCACAUCCUGGGGCUGAAGUAGGUCCCAAGGGUAUGGCUGUUCGCCAUUUAAAGUGGUACGCGAGCUGGGUUUAGAACGUCGUGAGACAGUUCGGUCCCUAUCUGCCGUGGGCGCUGGAGAACUGAGGGGGGCUGCUCCUAGUACGAGAGGACCGGAGUGGACGCAUCACUGGUGUUCGGGUUGUCAUGCCAAUGGCACUGCCCGGUAGCUAAAUGCGGAAGAGAUAAGUGCUGAAAGCAUCUAAGCACGAAACUUGCCCCGAGAUGAGUUCUCCCUGAGACUUUAGGUCUCCUGAAGGAACGUUGAAGACGACGACGUUGAUAGGCCGGGUGUGUAAGCGCAGCGAUGCGUUGAGCUAACCGGUACUAAUGAACCGUGAGGCUUAACCUU